rnacentral:misc_RNA from 1 species
UAUGAUGGCCCCCAACUGCACCUAUUGCUGAGAACUGUUUAUCUUUGUCUGGUACACCUAGAAACUGGGUAAUAAAGAAUGUAAGCAAUCGGGACUACAUCAAUUUGUGAAUAUAAAAUGUUAAAUGUCAUGGCAUUAUCCCCUCAGGAAAGUACAAAUUAUUUUCAUGCAGCAGAGAGUGGGAAUCGGGAACAUCAUAUCAAUCAACAAGUAAUCCUACAAUUGGCAGUGAUAGACUCAGCAAUAUCACUCCAAUACCAUGAGAACCACAUUUCAUGUUAGACUUGGUACAAUGCCAAUUUUACUUUGAUUUGCAAAACCUAAAAGUUUUCCCCAGGGUAAAUAUCCAAAUCUAUCUCACGUUCACCUUUACCCCCUACCUAAAGGAAAAGCCAGGCAUCUUCUCAUUAACACAACUGAGUGAAAGAUUUUAAAUAGCAUUGUCAAACCCAGCCAACGCCUUUUUUCGUCACAUAUUACUGAUGACUAGACCCAGCCACAGUCCUGGAUGAGACUGGAACUGGUCCAGUCAAACCUGAGACCAAAAACCAGACCAGAACUGUCUCUCUCCCAUGGUCCCAUCCCUUGAACCAGACUGGACUGAGUAGUUCCAUUUCAAACAUUCUUUC